rnacentral:rRNA from 1 species
ACGCUCGACACCUACUGGAGGCAGCAGUGAGGAAUAUUGGUCAAUGGACGCAAGUCUGAACCAGCCAUGCCGCGUGCAGGAUGACGGCUCUAUGAGUUGUAAACUGCUUUUGUACGAGGGUAAACGCAGAUACGUGUAUCUGUCUGAAAGUAUCGUACGAAUAAGGAUCGGCUAACUACGUGCCAACAGCCGCGGUAAUCUGAGCGGCUGGCAAGGC